CCCUUAGAUGCUCUGGGCCGCACGCGCGCUACACUGGUCGAUGCAACGAGUUUCUUUCCUUGGCCGACAGGCCUGGGCAAUCUUUGAACAUCGAUCGUGAUCGGGAUAGAUUCUUGUAAUUUUUGAUCUUAAACGAGGAAUGCCUAGUAAGCGCAAGUCAUCAGCUUGCGUUGAUUACGUCCCUGCCCUUUGUACACACCGCCCGUCGCUCCUACCGAUUGAAUGGUCCGGUGAAGCGUUCGGACCGUGGCCUUUGGACGGUUCGCCGUCUGUUGGCUGCGGGAAGUUCGUUAAACCUUAUCAUUUAGAGGAAGGAGAAGUCGUAACA
rnacentral:rRNA from 1 species